UGGUCAAGUUAUUAAGGGUGCAGGGCGGAUGCCUUGGCACUAGGAGCCGAUGAAGGACGUGAUAAGCUGCGAUAAGCUUCGGGGAGUUGCACGUAAACUUUGAUCCGAAGAUUUCCGAAUGAGGAAACUCACUUAGAGUAAUGUCUAAGUAUCAUUAAGUGAAUACAUAGC
rnacentral:rRNA from 1 species